UACGUAGGGGGCAAGCGUUGUCCGGAUUUAUUGGGCGUAAAGAGCUCGUAGGCGGUCUGGUAAGUCAGGUGUGAAAUCUCCACGCUCAACGUGGAGGGGCCACCUGAUACUGCCAUGACUGGAGUCCGGUAGAGGAGUGUGGAAUUCCCGGUGUAGCGGUGAAAUGCGCAGAUAUCAAGAGGAACACCUGCGGCGAAGGCGGGUUGCUGGGCCGACACUGACGCUGAGGCGCGAAAGCCAGGGGAGCGAACGGG
rnacentral:rRNA from 1 species